CCUGCGCAGCCCCGGGCCGCUCCGCGGGGCGCGCCGGGAAGUGCAGUCCGUGGGGAGAGCGGCGGCGCUACUGCCCCCUGUCGGCCGGCGGUGCACACCCCGCCCCAGGCGCGUCCGUGACACCGAAAUGUUUUCUUUCUUUAUAUCGGCACGUAAAAUUUACUGCGUUUUGUGAGCGGGCUUUGUUUUGGCCUCGUCCUCUCCCCCUAGGAAUUCUGUGCGUGACCCGGAAACUAAAGUACCAUUAGGCUGCUUGCGUUCGAAGAACAAAAGGCGUUUGAAGGUCGCGUCCUUUGCAGGCACAGCGAGGUGUACAGGAGAGGAAACUAAUGGUGUGGGUCUUCAGAGUUAGUGUGAUAGCGUAUUUCUGUGCAUUCUGUAGGGUAUGUCUAAAUAUUUUGGUGGAUUUAAUAUUUUUUACCAGCCGUGGAAACUGAUUUGCCUGCUAGAUAACUGUAAAAAUGUUCCUGUACGCUAGAUGAGAACAAUGUUGAAACUGACCGCAUGUGAUUCAAACUGCCUUAAGCUUCAAGAUCAAAGAACAAGGACAAGGACUUCCAAGGACAGCCAACAGAAUCUCAAAUGGGUCAGUGGUUGUAAAAGCAGCCCUUCGACUCAAAUGAAUUCUUCAUUGUGCAUGAUCGGAUGUAGGCAGUACUAUGAUAAUCAGUUACAAUAAUUUUUAUGUAUAUGUAUACUAAUCUGACUAAUAUGUAAUUGUUACUCCAUAUAACCUGUUUGUGCUGAAGCUGUGACAUGCACACUAGGUGGGAUUAUCCCCUGUGCAUCCAGCGCUGCAAUAAAGAAUGCCUGCUUUCUAAAACUCCAAAA